GUUCGUGUAUAGCCGCUAAUGCCCGAUUUCCCACCCUUCACACGGGUGGGGUCGCAGGUUCAAUCCCUGCCGCGCCCACCA
rnacentral:tRNA from 1 species